UACGAAGGGGGCUAGCGUUGCUCGGAAUCACUGGGCGUAAAGGGUGCGUAGGCGGGUCUUUAAGUCAGAGGUGAAAUCCUGGAGCUCAACUCCAGAACUGCCUUUGAUACUGAGGAUCUUGAGUUCGGGAGAGGUGAGUGGAACUGCGAGUGUAGAGGUGAAAUUCGUAGAUAUUCGCAAGAACACCAGUGGCGAAGGCGGCUCACUGGCCCGAUACCGACGCUGAGGCACGAAAGCGUGGGGAGCAAACAGG
rnacentral:rRNA from 1 species